UACGUAGGGGUGCAAGCGUUAUCCGGAAUUAUUGGGCGUAAAGAGCUCGUAGGCGGUUUGUCGCGUCUGCCGUGAAAGUCCGGGGCUCAACUCCGGAUCUGCGGUGGGUACGGGCAGACUAGAGUGCAGUAGGGGGAGACUGGAAUUCCUGGUGUAGCGGUGAAAUGCGCAGAUAUCAGGAGGAACACCGAUGGGCGAAGGCAGGUCUCUGGGCUGUAACUGACGCUGAGGAGCGAAAGCGUGGGGAGCGAACAGG
rnacentral:rRNA from 1 species